ACGUAGGGGGCUAGCGUUAUCCGGAUUUACUGGGCGUAAAGGGUGCGUAGGCGGUCUUUCAAGUCAGGAGUGAAAGGCUACGGCUCAACCGUAGUAAGCUCUUGAAACUGGGAGACUUGAGUGCAGGAGAGGAGAGUGGAAUUCCUAGUGUAGCGGUGAAAUGCGUAGAUAUUAGGAGGAACACCAGUGGCGAAGGCGGCUCUCUGGACUGUAACUGACGCUGAGGCACGAAAGCGUGGGGAGCAAACAGGAUUAGAUACCCUGGUAGUCCACGCUGUAAACGAUGAGUACUAGGUGUCGGGGGUUACCC
rnacentral:rRNA from 1 species